AUUGAACGCUGGCGGCAGGCCUAACACAUGCAAGUCGAACGAGUGGCGGACGGGAGAGUAAUGUAUGGGAAACUGCGCGAUGGAGGGGGAUAACAAACGGACACGGGAACUACAACCGCACAACAUCGCAUGUGCCCAGAUGGGUUUAGCUAGUGGGAGGGGUACCGGCGCACCUAGGCGACGAUCCCUAGCUGGUCUGAGAGGAUGACCAGCCACACUGGAACUGAGACACGGUCCAGACUCCUACGGGAGGCAGCAGUGGGGAAUAUUGCACAAUGGGCGCAAGCCUGAUGCAGCCAUGCCGCGUGUAUGAAGAAGGCCUUCGGGUUGUAAAGUACUUUCAGCGAGGAGGCGUUACUCGCAGAAGAAGCACCGGCUAACUCCGUGCCAGCCGCCGCGGUAAUUC
rnacentral:rRNA from 1 species